ensembl:antisense Gm13563 predicted gene 13563
GAAGUCACUCUCCUCCUUGAUCAUCUUCGCCUCCAACUUCCGUUCGAGUGUCCUCACCCUCAGUAGAGGAAAAACUGAGACCCCUCUUCAGGGCAAUUCUACAUCAAGCCAUUAUAUGACUAACUGCCUUGUCCGUGGCAUUGAGCCCAGGCCACCCAGGAAGUAGAUGACUGCAGCUCCUCUCCACAACACAGCUCAGCUGUGUUGGGUGCCACACUGCCCUCACUUACUGCUUCAUAACUUAUCUGCAGCGUCCGCAGGUGUCUGUCCCCUAGGGAUUCUUCAUGAGCUGCAAAGUCUGCAUUAGGACUCCCAGCUGGAGACGCUGGGGAGAUCCUGGAGUCGGUGUCACUCAGCGUCCAUGGGGGCAAAGACUCGGGACAUGCCAGCUCUGACGAGUUGGAGAAAAAGGAAAGGCUGAGGUUCUUGGUUUUCAAAAACUCUUUGAAGGAGAAUGGAUUGGCUUCUUCAAGGUCUUCAAGUUUGUCACCUGAAAAAACGAACACCACAGAAGACUGUGAAAGGGCCCAACAUCCUGUGUUACCAUCACGUUUCAACUGUAACUCAAAGAACAUUACAGAACAUGAGAGCUGCCAAAGAGGUUAGAGAAUAU